UCUCUGCUUCUGUCUCCAUGGUAACCUAACUGUCAUGUUUUCAUCUCUAGCAUGGUGGUUAGUCACAACUGAAUCUUUCAGAGGAGGAAAGAGCAGACACUAGGCACAGAACAAAGAGCAAAUGAAACAGGAACUGUGGAAUAACACUGUGUUCCCAAAGAAAACAUAACUGCCAUAGAUCACAGAAUGAAAGCCCCAGAGCACGCAGCAGAGAAGUCCAGCAACAGGAGUCAACAUUUACAGAAAACCCUGUAGGAAGACUGUGGCACUACCAACUGAUCAACAUGUUACAGAACUCAUUUUAUACUGCAGCCAGGCUGAGGAGGGCCCAUCACCUGCACAUAAAUAUUUGGACAGUGGCGACAACUUGAAGACAGCUAGCUGCAGAGUGAUAUUCCAGAAUAAGAGUUUUGAAGCUCCAGAUGACUAGCUGACCUGGGUAUUAAUGCUGGAUAUAGCAACGUCCUUCUAUGUCCUUCUAAAUUUUCUUCAUGAGUAGUGAUAAGUUAUGCUGAGAAAAAUUCUUGAACCUACAGUUAUACAACAUUGUUCUUGCCGCCUUUCAAAAAUGGACAAUGUCUCCCAUAUGGAAUAUCUACUGAUGAUCUUGCAAGAAGGUGAAUAAAAAAUCCAAUGAAGACAUAAAACGAGUUUCAUUUAAAAAAUCUGGUAAAAUGGAAGUUUGCUUUACACAAACAGUAAAGAAGCCUUGGAAGAUAAUGUUGACUUCCCAUGCUCAAAAGUACUCUGACUCAGGAAGAUAGCUCCAGCCCUUCAAAGGAAGGGCUGUCUGCAAUAAAUGCCCAUGGAGACCUCUCAGCAAUUCCAUAAGAUAAGUGAAUUGGCUUAAAUCAAAUGUUUUGCAGUUCCAUUUACAGAGCAUUUACUGGCCAUCGUGUACUACUCAAGUUACUAGAACACUAAGUUGACUCAUGCUUGGAAAUACUGGUUUUAUGUUGCUAUCAGAGUAUUGUCAUAAAUCCACCCACAAUUACAAAGAGUCCUACUCUGCUGCUGUAGCUACCUUUAACUCCUUGCCCUCAGCAAAUUGUAUGCCUAGGGAGAUGGACUACUUCGGCCUUGAGAAAUUUCCAAUUAGGUCAUUUUGAGAAGCAGUCUGGAUGUGUGGUCUGAAAUAGCAUUUCCAGUUUUUGCCUAUUUUUAUUUUUGAGAACUGCUUGCAAAUAAAUGCCACUGAGUUUGUUAGGAA
rnacentral:lncRNA from 1 species